AGGGGUAGGGGUGCUGUGUGUGGGGGGUAAGGCCCUUACCCCCCACACACAGCACCCCUACCCCCACACACAUAGC